AUUGAACGCUGGCGGCAGGCCUAACACAUGCAAGUCGAGCGGAUGAAGAGAGCUUGCUCUCUGAUUUAGCGGCGGACGGGUGAGUAAUGCCUAGGAAUCUGCCUGGUAGUGGGGGAUAACGUUCCGAAAGGAACGCUAAUACCGCAUACGUCCUACGGGAGAAAGCAGGGGACCUUCGGGCCUUGCGCUAUCAGAUGAGCCUAGGGCGGAUUAGCUAGUUGGUGAGGUAAUGGCUCACCAAGGCGACGAUCCGUAACUGGUCUGAGAGGAUGAUCAGUCACACUGGAACUGAGACACGGUCCAGACUCCUACGGGAAGCAGCAGUGGGGAAUAUUGGACAAUGGGCGAAAGCCUGAUCCAGCCAUGCCGCGUGUGUGAAGAAGGUCUUCGGAUUGUAAAGCACUUUAAGUUGGGAGGAAGGGCAUUAACCUAAUACGCUAGUGUUUUGACGUUACCAACAGAAUAAGCACCGGCUAACUUCGUGCCAGCCGCCGCGGUAAAAC
rnacentral:rRNA from 1 species